GUCCGGGUUGGGUCGAGGGGCCGGGCUGUGUUCGUGUCGGGGGCCUGGGCCUCGUCCGGGUCCGGGUUCCGGUUUCGGCUCCGGGUUCGGCCG
rnacentral:tRNA from 1 species